GACGAACGCUGGCGGCGUGCUUAACACAUGCAAGUCGAACGGAAAGACCCUGCUUUUGUGGGGUGCUCGAGUGGCGAACGGGUGAGUAACACGUGAGUAACCUGCCCUUGACUUUGGGAUAACUUCAGGAAACUGGGGCUAAUACCGGAUAGGAGCUCCUGCUGCAUGGUGGGGGUUGGAAAGUUUCGGCGGUUGGGGAUGGACUCGCGGCUUAUCAGCUUGUUGGUGGGGUAGUGGCUUACCAAGGCUUUGACGGGUAGCCGGCCUGAGAGGGUGACCGGCCACAUUGGGACUGAGAUGCGGCCCAGACUCCUACGGGAGGCAGCAGUGGGGAAUAUUGCACAAUGGGCGGAAGCCUGAUGCAGCAACGCCGCGUGCGGGAUGACGGCCUUCGGGUUGUAAACCGCUUUCGCCUGUGACGAAGCGUGAGUGACGGUAAUGGGUAAAGAAGCACCGGCUAACUACGUG
rnacentral:rRNA from 1 species